rnacentral:tRNA from 1 species
GUGUUAAUUCAGUGGUAGAAUGCCAGCUUCCCAAGCUGAAUAUGCGGGUUCGAUUCCCGUACA